ensembl:snRNA U6 U6 spliceosomal RNA
GUGCUUGCUGCAGCUACACAUAUACUAAAAUUGGGAUGAUAGAGAGAUUAGCACAGCCCUUGCACAAGGAGGACUUGAAAAUUCAUGGAGCAGUCCAUAUUUUU